AGCGCUUCUCGGCCUUUUGGCCAAGAUCAAGUGUAGUAUCUGUUCUUGUCAGUUAUACCCAAACAUUUUUAAGCAGGAUGGUACUUAGCUUCCAAGUGUUUGAGUUUCUUCCAAGUUUUUUCUUGUGAUCGGCUUCCAGUUUCAAAGCAUUGUGGUCUGAGAAUAUGCAGGGAAUAAUCUCA
ensembl:snRNA U2 U2 spliceosomal RNA